rnacentral:rRNA from 1 species
UACAGAGGGUGCAAGCGUUGUUCGGAGUUACUGGGCGUAAAGGGUGUGUAGGCGGUUCUUUAAGUUUGCUGUGAAAUCUCCCGGCUUAACCGGGAGGGUGCGGUGAAUACUGAGGGACUAGAGUACGGGAGAGGAAAGUGGAAUUCCUGGUGUAGCGGUGAAAUGCGCAGAUAUCAGGAGGAACACCGAUGGCGAAGGCAGCUCGCUGGGACGGUGACUGACGCUGAGACGCGAAAGCGUGGGGAGCAAACAGG